CCUACGGGAGGCAGCAGUGGGGGAUAUUGCACAAUGGGGGGAACCCUGAUGCAGCGACGCCGCGUGAGUGAAGAAGUAAUUCGGUAUGUAAAGCUCUAUCAGCAGGGAAGAAUAAAUGACGGUAACUGAGUAAGAAGCCCCGGCUAACUACGUGCCAGCAGCGGCGGUAAUACGUAGGGGGCAAGCGUUAUCCGGAUUUACUGGGUGUAAAGGGUGCGUAGACGGGGAUGCAAGCCAGAUGUGAAAGCCCGGGGCUCAACUGCGGUAGUGCAUUUGGAACUGUAUGGCUGGAGUGCCGGAGAGGCAGGCGGAAGUCCUAUGGUAGCGGUGAAAGGCGUAGAUAUUAGGAGGACCACCAGUGGCGAAGGCGGACUGCUGGACUGUAACUGACGUGGAGGAUCGAAAGCGUGGGGAGCAAACAGGAUUAGAUACCCUUGUAGUC
rnacentral:rRNA from 1 species